rnacentral:miRNA from 1 species
AGGUGGGAGGAUCCCUUGAGUCCAGGAGUUGGAGGCUGCAAUGAGCUGUGAUUACACCACUGCACUCCAGCCUGAGUGACAGA